rnacentral:rRNA from 1 species
UGACCAACUUACCUUCGGGAGGGGGACAACCUGGGGAAACCCGGGCUAACACCGCAUAAAGUGCCUUGGCCGCAUGACCGGGGCAUGAAAGGGGGCCUCUGCUUGCAAGCUCCCGCCUGAAGAGGGGGUCGCGGCGUAUCAGCUAGUUGGUAGGGUAACGGCCUACCAAGGCUACGACGCGUAGCGGGUCUGAGAGGACGACCCGCCACAUUGGGACUGAGAUACGGCCCAGACUCCUACGGGAGGCAG